rnacentral:rRNA from 1 species
AUGCUGACGAGUGGCGGACGGGUGAGUAAUGCGUAGGAAUCUGUCUUUUAGUGGGGGACAACCCAGGGAAACUUGGGCUAAUACCGCAUGAGCCCUGAGGGGGAAAGCGGGGGAUCUUCGGACCUCGCGCUAAGAGAGGAGCCUACGUCCGAUUAGCUAGUUGGCGGGGUAAAGGCCCACCAAGGCGACGAUCGGUAGCUGGUCUGAGAGGACGACCAGCCACACUGGGACUGAGACACGGCCCAGACUCCUACGGGAGGCAGCAGUGGGGAAUUUUUCGCAAUGGGGGCAACCCUGACGAAGCAAUGCCGCGUGGAUGAAGAAGGCCUUCGGGUUGUAAAGUCCUUUCGUGGAGGACGAAAAGGUGGGUUCUAAUACAAUCUGCUAUUGACGUGAAUCCAAGAAGAAGCACCGGCUAACUCCGUGCCAGCAGCCGCGGUAAUACGGGGGGUGCAAGCGUUAAUCGGAAUCACUGGGCGUAAAGGGUGCGUAGGCGGUACGUUAGGUCUGUCGUGAAAUCCCCGGGCUCAACCUGGGAAUGGCGGUGGAAACCGGUGUACUAGAGUAUGGGAGAGGGUGGUGGAAUUCCAGGUGUAGCGGUGAAAUGCGUAGAGAUCUGGAGGAACAUCAGUGGCGAAGGCGGCCACCUGGCCCAAUACUGACGCUGAGGCACGAAAGCGUGGGGAGCAAACAGGAUUA